rnacentral:rRNA from 1 species
AGCAGCCGCGGUAAUUCCAGCUCCAAUAGCGUAUAUUAAAGUUGUUGCAGUUAAAAAGCUCGUAGUUGAAUUUCGGGAUCAAUACGUCGGUCGUGCUUCGGUACGUACUGGCGUAAUUGAUUUCUCCCUUCUGACGAACCAUGAUGUCAUUAACUUGGUGUCAUGGGAAAUCAGGACUGUUACUUUGAAAAAAAUUAGAGUGUUUAAAGCAGGCUCACGCUUGAAUACAUUAGCAUGGAAUAAUGAAAUAGGACGUUCGAUCCUAUUUUGUUGGUUUUUAGGAUCAACGUAAUGAUUAAUAGGGAUAGUUGGGGGCAUUAGUAUUCAAUUGUCAGAGGUGAAAUUCUUGGAUUUAUUGAAGACUAACUACUGCGAAAGCAUUUGCCAAGGAUGUUUUCAUUAAUCAAGAACGAAAGUUAGGGGAUCGAAGACGAUCAGAUACCGUCGUAGUCUUAACCAUAAACUAUGCCGACUAGGGAUCGGAUGAUGUUAAUCUUUUAAUGACUCAUUCGGCGCCUUA